rnacentral:lncRNA from 10 species
GGUGACAAUGCACAUAAGGAGAGUGUCACACGUCCUUUCAAUUCCAUCUUCAUACUCUUCAUCAGCUAUAAAAACACAUACAAAUAUAUGAUAUAAAAUUAUGUAAAAAUAUAUAAAAUAAAAUACACAUAAAAUGAAAUAUACAUACAAUAAAUAUACAUACAUAUACAUAAGUAUGUAAAUUUAUACACAUAUGUAAAUAUACAUACAAUAAAUAAAUAUACCUAAAUAUACAUAAAAUAAAAGAUACAUACAAAUGUAUAUGAAUAUAAUAUUAAAAAGUGUAGCAAACUUACGUUUUAAAAAAAUACCAUUACCUCCUUCCAAAGGGCUAUUUCUAAUUGUGCCGUGACACAACUUUUGGAAGUCACACAGCAUCUGUUCCAUAUGUGGCAGCACAUGACUGACACAUAAUGAUGAAGCCACAUAUGUAAUGUCCUCAAAUAUUUUGUUUCUUCUAUAGGUAGAAAAUAACAGGACAAAAAGCACAAAACAUAAGGCUCACAUUCGUUGUGCUUGUUAUGGUAGGAAGAGAUUGUGGCAAAACCUGGAAACACAGCCACGUUACCCAGGAGGCAAAAGGACUGCAGGGGAGAGAGCGUGAACAAGGAAGCUUGCCUGGCUUCCAAUUCUGCUCCGUUCCCACACUGGGACUCAGGCAAGUUGCUGAACCUUAGGAUCCUCAUCUGUAAAAUGGGGAGGGCCGUUUGGGGGUUACACUCUUCAGAGGGUUGUUUAAGAAUUACCUUUAGCCGUCCUGGGGCAGUAGCUAAUGCCUGUAAUCCCAGCACUUUGGGAAGCCGAGGCGGGUGGAUCACUUGAGGUCAGGAGUUUGAGACCAGCCUGGCCAACAUGGAGAAACCCUAUCUCUACUAAAAAUCAAAAAUUAGCCAGGCAUGGUGGUGUGUGCCUGUAAUCCUAGCUACUAGGGAAGCUGAGGCAGGAGAAUCACUUGAACUCAGGAGGUAGAGAUUGCAGUGAGCCAAGAUCACACCACUGCAUUCCAGCCUGGGUAACAGAGCAAGACUCUGUCUUUAAAAAAAGUCAGCAGCUGAACAAGGGCAGUGCAGUAUCACAGGAUGCUGCGGAGGCAAAACAGAUGCAUAUCUCACAGAUGAGGGCUUCAGUAUCCUGAAGGGGGUAUCACCUGAGUUGGAUUUUGAAAGAGGGUCAUGAUUGGCCAGUAAAACCAAUGAGGGAAGACAUUCCAGGCAGAUAACACAGGAUGAGCAAAGGCAAACAGGCACAAAAGCAUGCGGGGUGUUUUGGGAAACUCAGGAAGAUGGGAAUGAUUUAGACUUUGGUAAACACAGAAGGGUGUGGGAGGUGAGAGAAGAAACGCAAGAGGGUACCAGGUCAUAAGGAGACUCACACAUCAAGCUGAAGAAUUUAAACUUAAUCUUGAAAUUAGGGGGAGGCACUGGAAGACUUUCAACAGGGUAAGUUGGCUAUCCAGCCAGUUGGUGAAAUAGUACAAGAUAAAACAUGUAGAAGACAAAUUAGCAUGUGGUAAAAGACACAGAAGUGGAAGCCAGGCAUGGUGAUACACGUGUGUAGGCCCCGCUACUCAGGAGGCUGAAGGGGGAAUGUCAUGUGAGCCCAAAAGUUGGAGACUGCAGUGAGCUAUAAUCACACCACUGCACUCCAGCCUGGGUGACAGAGAGACUCUGUCUCUAAAAAAAACAAGCAAACAAACAACAAUGCAGAAGUAGCAGUGAUGCAAAGAGACAGAAAUAGGGAGAUAAACUGUACAGAGAUAGAGGGGAGUCCCUCUAAUUAAUGUAGACUCUAUAUUAAGUAGUAGAAUCGAGUUUGCCUUGACUCAUCAAUGUACUAAGACUUGAGUAGAAAGGCAUCUCAAGUGCCAGGGACAGAAAGCCCCAGAGGUAGAAAAAUGUAUGCUUGUACGAUGAACAGCAAAUAAACCAGUAAGUAUGGGUGAGAGGAGUGGAAGACGAAGCUGGAGCGAUAAACUGGGAGCUCUCUGUGAAGCUGUAGGGAGUUUGGAUUUUAUUGGGCGGGAAAUGGAGCAUCAUGGAAAGCCUGAGUUGGGGUAGGGGAGGAAAUAUUCAAGGCAGCGAUUUCUGACAAAUAGUCUAGUGGUGAUAUACUGGGUGAAUUGAAGAGGAAAGAAUGACUGGAGGUGGAAAGACCACUUAGGAGGCAGUUGCAAUAAUUCAGGCAUGAUGUUCUAUGAGCCUCAACCAGGGUAAUGGGAGAGAAGAGGCAAAGGAUGAAUGAAAGGAAGCUGACAGAACUGUAGGCAGAAGGGGGAAGGCAGCAUUAAAUACAACUCUGAGGCCUCCCAGCCAUGGGUGACUUAGGAAAAGGAUCGUCCCAUUAGACCAUAGAAAUAGACCAUUUAGAAGGAAGAACUGGUUGUAGGGUGUUUUGAUGAAGGCAAGCAAAGCAUCUCAGAUGAUUUGUAUGUUUAUAGAAUGAGAAGACAAUAAAACAUUUUUAAAAGUCAGAGAGGACAAGAGAGUUCAGAGGAUACUGUGAUCCAAAUUAAGGAAGACAAUAAUUUUAAAGAUGUCAAAAUUGCAGAAUAGUCAAAGGCAAUGAGAAGCAAAAAAAUAGUCACUGGAUUAAACAAUAGGGUCAUCAGGAAACAGUAGGAAGAAGGCAAAUGGUAGAGAAAAAGCAGUGCAGAAAUUAAAGGAGAGAGGGUCGGUCAACUGUUUUAUAGGGAAAUUUGGUACUGAAGGAAGGAGACUAGUAGUUUCCUGGGAGUUUCAGGGAAUAAGAAAACCCAGAGGAAGGUUGAAUUGGGACCUAAGAUGUGUGUAGGAAGAAAGAGAGAGAACAGAUGAUGACAAGGAAAAGAUUUCAGAUGUAAGAACAAUGGUCCAGCUGAUGGUGGCCAGGAAGUAAUGAUAAACACAGGGGUAGUUAUAAAAGAAGGGAGAGGGCCAGGUGCGGUGGCUUAUGCCUGUAAUCCCAGCACUUUGGGAGGCUGAAGUGGGCAGACUACCUGAGGUCAGGAGUUCAAGAUCAGCCUGGCCAACAUGGUGAAACACUGUCUCUACUAAAAAUUCAAAAAUUAGCUGAGCAUGGUGGCACAAGCCUGUAAUCCCAGCUACUCAGGAGGCUGAGGCAGGAGAAUCACUUGAACCCAGGAGGCAGAGGUUGCAGUGAGCCAAGACCGUGCCAUUGCACUCUAGCCUGGGCAACAAGAGCAAAACUCUGUCUCAAAAAAAAAAAAAGAAGAAGAAGAAGAAAGAAGGAGGAGGAGGAGGGAGAGAACAUGUUGCUUAUAAACAAAAGUAAAGAAUUAGUGAAAAUAGACUUUUAAUGUGGAGACAUUUAAAAGAACUAAAUAUAUACCUAUGAAGAACUUAGAACAGUGCUUGGCGUAUAGUUAGGACUCAAUACAUUCUAGCUAUCAUAAUUAUCAUUACUGAGAGAUAGUGGUUAAAUCUCAUGAAAAGUUUUGGUUUUAAAACAAUAAACAAAUUCUAAUCUUGAAUUCUAUGAGGUUAAAUAAUCCUCAUUCUCAGUUGACUAGUAAAAUACAGUAUUUUUUCUUAAUUUAUAAUGCAAAUAAAAUGUUUUAUAUGAGGGAAGGAAUACAAACAUAUUUUAGUGGCUCUGAAAUAGUUCCCUCUAAUCUGAGGUGUUAAUCUAUAAAUUUUAAAAAAUAUUGGCCAUGCUUGAAUAACGGUAUUUAAUAAUGCCAUUUUUCUGCUUUAAUAAUUAAAUUCAGUGUUUGUUAUGGUUUCUUAGAAAACAAGGGAUUGUCACUGAGACACGUUUGAAAGUAUGAGUGCAAAUGAACACCUCUUGUGGGUGGAACACCUGAGGUCAGGAGCUCAAGACCAGCCUGGCCAACAUGGUGAAACACCUUCUCUACUAAAAAUACAAAAACUAGCCAGGCGUGGUGGUGCAUGCCUGUAAUCCCAGAUACUCAGGAGGCUAAGGCAGGAGAAUCACUUGAACCUGGGAAGUGCAGGUUGCAAUGAGCUGAGAUUGUGCCAUUGCACUCCAGCCUGGAUGACAGAGCAAGACUCCAUCACAAAAAAGAAAAAACAAAACAAAAAAACCUCUUGCCUGUCAGUCUUAAGCUUUAAUUAUAAUCAAUUCAUUGGUGGAAAUGCUGAUUUUAAAAAUUUCAACUAUAUCCAAAAUGUCAGUACUGCUGGAAAAAUAAAUAAAUAAUAAGAAAUAAAAAUUUUAACGAGAAAAAAAAUUUAAAACACUGGGGACCCAGUGGGAAGCCAAAAUGUAGAAUGCAUUAAGGCUGACUGGUUUCUGGUAUUCAUCAAUCUUUUCUAUUAAAGUAAAAUAUCCAAACAUAUUAAAUUUGAAUUAUUCAUAAAUGUUAAGUGUCUGUGAACUUUGUCCUUUUUUCUGUACAUUCGAAUGAUUUUUACUUAUAAAAUAAUUGUAAUUGUAUUUUGUAAAUUGUUGCAAAAAGGCCUUGCUUUUUUUAAGGUGAAUAUUUUUGUUCAGGAACCAGGGAGGUCUGCAGCAAAUGAAAUAUGAAGUUUUUUUUUUUUUUUUUUUUUUUUUUAAACACAGUUGGUUGCCAGUUACUGCGUGAAUUUUCUGGCGCUGGGACAAUGACCUUCCCUGCAUCCACAGGAGCCCUCUGAGGGAGCUGGCCACUCUGCCUCCUAGUCACCGUGAGGCUUGUUAUUAAGCUACUGUGUAUGUCUGUACCUUUUGUAACAUGGACCUGCUGUCCACAAGGUAACAAACUAAGGCUGUCAUGGAUGCACACUAGGGUUUGCAAGUUAAAAUUUAAUCCUGGUCUUAGACAUAGAAGUUAUUUUUAAAUUUAAGUGACACAUGCUGCACAACAAACCCCAGGUUCUAGCUUUCACUCUACUUUUGCAGUUAACUACAUGCAGUCAAAAUUUAAAAGUGCCAAACGCUAGCAGAUCAAAUCCAUAACAUUUUCAAACAGAUGAAUUUUAUCACUUACAAUGUCAAAUACAAAAAGUGUAUGGAAGAAACAGUAGAUUAAUACAGGCAUUCCUGUAUUUUUAUUACUAAUGUAGGAAUACUCCCUAAUUGUGAAAAGCUAUUGCCACCAUCUCUGGCUUCCAGCAGUAUCUGUGACACAUCUCCAGAGAUGAAACUCCUCCACUCUCCAGAUGGAAUCCUCGCUUUCCUCCCUACUCUGGCAGCUAUCCUUACAAAAUCAUCUCCACCUCUUCCCCCAACUCCUAGCUCUGCUGCAGCCUAAAAGAUGGAGACUUUCCCCCAAUGUGCCUGGGAGGAACAAAUCACCAUUUGUUCAUAGGAAGGAGAAAUGAUGUUCUUUGUGUAAUAUAUUAGGUGAAGUGCAGGUUAUAGAGGUUUUCCUGGGAAGCCUUUUAUAAGAGUUUGUAUUCAGGGUCAUGAAUAACAUCCAAACAGAACAGUUUAUCAAGCUUAACAUUAUUAAUAUUUUGGGCUAGAUGAUUCUUUGUUGUGGACUGUCCUGUGCAAUGUGGGAUGCUUAGUAGCAUCCCUGUCCUCUACCCACUAGAUGCUAGUAGCACCCCAUCCCAGUUGUGACAACAGACAUGUCUCUAGACAUUGUCAGAUGUCCCUGGGGGGUUGGGGUAGGGGUGGGGACAAAAUCAACUCCAGUUCAUAAAUACGUAACAGAGAAUAUUUAUAUUCAAGAAAUUGUCUUUAGUAGGUAUAAAGAAAGGCUUAAAAAAAUCUAUCCAAACAUACUCAGUGAAAUGAAAUGAUCUCAAAUUUUGGUUAGGGAAGAAAUAAUUUAUAGUGAUCUUUUAAUUAGGAGGCAAUAAGACAGAAGGUUGGAAUAUAAGCUUUGAAAUCUAUGUUGAUAUACAUUGACUGACUAGCUGUGAUCUUGGCAACUUAUUUAAUGCCUCUUUCCUUAGGGUCCCUACCGAAAAUGUAAGGAUAACUAGUAGUAUCUAUCUAUCUCACAGGGUUGUUGUGAUAAUUAAGUGACAUAAUGCACACAAUGCGCUCAGCACAGUACCUGAAAUGAGUAAGCCUUCUCCAGGUCCUUGAACAUGUCUCAGGGCGUUCACUCUCAGAUGUUCCAUGUGGCCAGAACACACUUCUCCCUCCUCUCGGCCUGACUAGCUCCUUCUCAUCCUCCAAGUCUCAACUUAAGUAAUUCCUCUUAGAAAGGUCUCUCUGUCUAAUCUCCCAACAGCCAAUCUCUAUUGUGAUGAUCAGUCAUACCACUGUUAGUAAUACUCACCUUAUCUUAUAACUUUUUAUGUUUCCCUUACUGUAAGUUCUAUAAAGGCCAGAAUCAUGUUUGUUUAUUCAACACUGUGUCCUCAACAGCUAGCAUGGUGACUGGCCCAGAGUAGAGGCUCAACAAAUAUAACUAUGUGAAAAAAUGAAUGAAGGAAUGAAUACACAAGGCUUUUAUUAUAUUAUCAUCCUCAUCAUCAAGGUUUGUACUGAAUAGACUUAACUACUCUCCCGUUUUCUAAAAAUAUUUACUUUUUAAAUUUUAAGAUCAAAAUGUCACAAUAGUAAUAACGUAUGAAAUAAUUACAAUAGACCAUUUGGUUGAGCAUCAACAAUCAUGCCUGGGGAGUUGUAUAAAGCCUAACAUUUACAGGAUUACACAGAGCUGGGCAGCCAACCAUCCUGGGAGAGUCUCACACUAUGAAUGACCUGGAAGACCUCAUUCUAGGAGAGUGGCCCUGGCAGUUCUCUCUCUCUGUGCCUUGGGAGCCCUGGCUACCACGCUGUGGGUGAGACUCAGAUCCUCUUCUGGGCCCACUGAGUCAGCCCUCUUUGUAUACUCUGGAACAACAAGUACUAGCUUUGUUGCUGGUUCACUAGCAAAGCAAUAUUUUGUCUUGAAAUCAAACCACAGUUAAAGUAUAUUUGCUUUAAAAUAAAGGAAACAAUAUUAAAGAAAUAUUCAGAGAUAGAAGACCAAUGCAAGCAUAGGGCCACUGAUACUUGGAACCAUGUUGUUACAAUAAAAUAUUUGUGUUAAUAAUAAACUUUUUAACAUAUUAUUUUUCAUACUCUGUUAAGGGGGGAAAUGUUGAAUUAAAAGAGAAAUAAAUACUGAUGACAAUAAUCUGAACUUUGAGGUGGCCAAAGAGAUCCCAGGAGUCAUUUAAUUUUACCCAGCUAUUUCAACUAUGUUCAAGUUUUCAAAAUGUCUCUUUUUAAAAAGUGAUUUUUUAAAAAGUCAUGGAUAAUGAUGGAAAAUGAGGGACACCUGUAGACCUGAAUUUGAGACUGUGACAGACUCUGCAAGCUGCUGAAAAAUGCUGUUUGACACCAAGACAAGAUACUAAAGUGGAUCACUAAAGAGACAGUGUGAGUUAGGACUAACCCACACUAUCAGUGCAUUCAGUACACGUUCAGACUAACCUCAAAUUAGAAAAGUAGCAGACAUCAUGUAUCUGGGCUUUGGCAAAAAGUCUUUGAUAAAAAGUCUCAUGAUAUCCUUUGAAAAAAGAUAGAGCAACAUGGGCGGAAUGAUGUUAACAGUUUCUUUAAGAGAGAUUUCUAUGCAACUGAAGAAUUGCACAAAAUGCAACCAUGUCCAUGUGAGAGCAUGUUCUAGUGCUUAGCACUGCAUUGCUGUCCUAUGCAUUUCUGGCACCCUUAAUGGAAAUCUUCUAGAACAGAGGUUGGCAAAAAAAAAAUUUCUGUAGCCAGAUGCCAACUAUCUUAGGCUUACAUACAGUUUCCAUCACAUGUUUUUCUUGAAAAAAAAAAUUUACAAUCAUUCUUAGCUCAACGGCUGUAUAAAACUAGAGCAAGUCAUAUUUUCCCAUGGGACAUAGUUUGCCACCCUCUGUUCAAGGGUGUAUCAAACUUGAGGACAUGAAGGAGAAUAAAUAUAUUGCUUGACAGAAUCAGGAUCCAUACGGACACCAUGAGGCUCAUGGCACAUUAGAACUGGAAGGGACCUGAAACCGAGAGAUCUUCCGGGCAAAGACCUCCUGUCUAUUCACUGGUCAAAUUGCGACGACCUGGGAUUAUGGGCUGGCAGAAAUAUGUAGAAAAAAAAUGCAUGGGCUUCUAUUUGAAAUCCCAAACUCCUAAUUAUAUGAGAACAGGGUGGCUGUUUAUGACAUGACAGCUGAACCAGUGAAGAAUGGCAUUUUAGCCAAGAGUCAGCCAAAUAUGGAUCAAGAGUGUGAUGUGGUUCUAAACUCCAGUAUCCAGAACAAGACAGCACUUUUCAACUGCUUGCCCUGGAGUGUCAUGGCAGUACUCACUGUUAUAGUAUGUGAGGAAAGCUGAAGAAAUCGGAGGUGUUUAGAUUGGAGGAUGCAAAUAGCAGGAUUUUAGAAACUGCAGAGCACAAUAAUGCUAUACGAGUCAAGAAUGAGCUGGUUCUUAUUGUGAGCCUUGACUGGGAGAGCAGGCGGCAGGGGAGAGAAGUGCUGGUGACGGCUGCCCACAGUGCCUAUGGCUGCUGGGACACUGGAUGGAAUGUAUUCAUGUGCUUAAUUCUCUCUUUAGGUCAAGAAGCAUAAAAUAUUUAGUCAGUAGAAGGGUCUAUUCAUUAUUCCUCAAGCAAUAGUCCAACAUCUCAAGGAAAAGGCCGUUUAGGAAAGAAAGCACUAUCAUUAUGACCAGACAAACAGUGUGGUCCCAGAUGGAAACUGGGGAACUCCGCACCUACACUAUGCUUAACUCUUUCUUCCCUUAUCUGUCCUAAGUCUAACUUUGCCCUCUGUAGAUACAACACAUCAACUCCUACUAAAUCUGCUCCUUUUUGUAUAUGACAACCCUUAAGAUAUUUGAAGACAUACACUCCCUAAAUCUUUGCUGCUUCAGGAAACAGGUCACUAAUUUCUUCUACAGUUCCUUAUAUAUGACACAUGCCAUAGUUUCCAGCCUGCCACAUCCUAUGAGAUCAAUUCAGAGUUUAAAGAAUUAUUAUUUUUAUAUGUAUGGUUCCAUUUGAUCCUGUGGAGGCAGGGAAAGUUUCAUUCUCAUUCUCUCUCUAGAGAGAGAGAGAUAGGCAGGCAAGUCAUCUGAACAAAGUCCAGGAAAUUUGCAUAACUUGUCCAAGACAUAGAGCUAGAGACUGUCAAGUCCAGGAUUAUUACCAAGUCUUUUGAAUUAUAAGCCCAUACUCUUCCCGAUCCUGUGUGAAAGGCUACACAGCUAAAAGGGACUCACUUAGUGUGGUUUGCAAUAUGGUAAUAGAAUCUUCAGCAGCACAUACCACAGGGUAAAUGUGCUAAAUCCUCCUGAAUAGAAACAAUAUAACGAACAGGAGAGGGGUACAAAAUGACCAAUGUGGGAAUCCUUUCUCCUGUUCAAAUCAUCUUGGUUCUUUUACUCUCUAUUCUUCUAUUUCAAUCCAUCAUGAAAUUUGUAGAGCAAUUCCCUAAGAGGUAAUAAUAUUUACUAAAUAAAACUUCAAAGAUAUCAAGUUCAUACUGACCCAGAGUCC